UACGGGGGGGAGCGAGCGUUAUCCGGAUUUACUGGGCGUAAAGGGGUGUGCAGGCGGGCUGUUAAGUGGUGUAUGAAAUAUCCCGGCUCAACCGGGAGAGGUUAUGCCAGACUGGCAGUCUAGAGAGCGAGAGAGGGACGUGGAAUUCCGGGGUGUAGUGGUGAAAUGCGUAGAGAUCCGGAGGAACCCCAGAGGCGAAGGCGGCGUCCUGGCUCGCAUCUGACGCUCAGACACGGCAGCUGGGGAGCAAACAGG
rnacentral:rRNA from 1 species